rnacentral:tRNA from 1 species
GAGGGUGUAGCUCAAGGCGUAGAGUGCGUGCUUAGCAUGCAUGAGGUCCUGGGUCCAAUCCCCAGCACCUGCU